UUGGCGGGCCCACCGGGGCCACCUGGUCGCCGGGGGACGCACGUCCCCGGGCCCGCGCCCGCCGAAGCGCUCUGUGAACCCUGAUGAAGAUGGGCUGUCUGAGUACGAUGAAAAUUGUCAAAACUUUCAACAAUGGAUCUCUUGGUUCCGGCAUCGAUGAAGAACGCAGCGAAAUGCGAUAAGUAAUGUGAAUUGCAGAAUUCCGUGAAUCAUCGAAUCUUUGAACGCACAUUGCGCCCCCUGGCAUUCCGGGGGGCAUGCCUGUCCGAGCGUCAUUUCUGCCCUCAAGCACGGCUUGUGUGUUGGGUGUGGUCCCCCCGGGGACCUGCCCGAAAGGCAGCGGCGACGUCCGUCUGGUCCUCGAGCGUAUGGGGCUCUGUCACUCGCUCGGGAAGGACCUGCGGGGGUUGGUCACCACCAUAUUUUACCACGGUUGACCUCGGAUCAGGUAGGAGUUACCCGCUGAACUUAAGCAUAUCA
rnacentral:rRNA from 1 species